GAGACUCUGUGCGCGUGCAUAUCAAUAAGCGGAGGAAAAGAAGCUAACAAGGAUUCCCUUAGUAACGGCGAGUGAAGCGGGAAGAGCUCAAAUUUGAAAUCUUCAAGGUUUUACCUUGACGAAUUGUAGUUUAAAGAAGUGUUUUCUGUUGGAGUUUUGGUAAAAGUUCUUUGGAAUAGGACAUCAUAGAGGGUGAGAAUCCCGUAUUUGACCAUUACUUUCCAGCUGAGUGAUACACUUUCAAAGAGUCGGAUUGUUUGGGAAUAGCAGUCCAAAAUGGGUGGUAAAUUUCAUCUAAAGCUAAAUAUUGGCGAGAGACCGAUAGCGAACAAGUACCGUGAGGGAAAGAUGAAAAGAACUUUGAAAAGAGAGUUAAACAGUACGUGAAAUUGUCAAAAGGGAAGCGUUUGACACCAGUGUUGUUUUCUCGAAAAUCAAUUAAAAAUGGCUUGAUUUUGUGUUGUAUUGACUUUAUCGGCUUUCUGCACUUUUUUCAUGUCUUUUUUAAUGCACUUUUCGUUAAACAAGUCAACAUCAAUUUCUUUUGUUGUAAAAGGGUUAUUGGAAGGUGGCUUUCUCUUCGGAGAAAGUGUUUAUAGCCUUUAACCUCUGCAAUCGGAGAGAUUGAGGUCUGCAGCGUAGAUCCUUCGGGGUUAGAUACAUUUGUGCUAAGUUAUAGUCUUUUAUAGACAACUUGUUGACUAUGAUUGAUCUUGUAGCUUACUCGCUUAUGCUAUUUUACCUACGCUUAGGAUGUUGAAGAUGUAGCACAUCAU
rnacentral:rRNA from 1 species